AACAAGGCGUACCUGCGGACCUGCGGAGGGAUCAUUACAAGUGACCCCGGUCUAACCACCGGGAUGUCCAUAACCCUUUGUUGUCCGACUCUGUUGCCUCCGGGGCGACCCUGCCUUCGGGCGGGGGCUCCGGGUGGACACUUCAAACUCUUGCGUAACUUUGCAGUCUGAGUAAACUUAAUUAAUAAAUUAAAACUUUCAACAAUGGAUCU
rnacentral:misc_RNA from 1 species